CUUGAACAUUUAUCCCUACAGUUUUUAACUCCAUCUAUUUGGUGCUGUGCAGUUGGUGCGGAAAAAAAAUCUGUUUUCAUCUGAUUCUUAGUUUUGAACCACUGUGGACUCAUCAAUUUUCAAAAGAGGAAAGCUUUACGUCAUUAAUUGAUAGCGUCUAUGGUUCUCUAGGAGUUUAGGAGUCUUGGAUUUAUUUUUUUCUGU
rnacentral:misc_RNA from 1 species